rnacentral:rRNA from 1 species
UACGAAGGGGGCUAGCGUUGUUCGGAAUUACUGGGCGUAAAGCGCACGUAGGCGGUUUGUUAAGUCACUGGUGAAAGUUUGCGGCCCAACCGUAAAAUUGCCUGUGAUACUGGCGAACUCGAGUGCGUGAGGGGUUGGGGGAACGAGCAGUGUAGCGGUGAAAUGCGUAGAUAUUGCUCGGAAGGCCGGAGCCGAAGGGGCCCAACUGGUACGCAACUGACGCUGAGGCACGAAAGCGUGGGGAGCAAACAGG